UAUGUAGGUGGCAAGCGUUGUUCGGAAUUAUUGGGCGUAAAGGGCGCGUAGGCGGUUUGUUAAGUCGGUUGUGAAAUCCCUCGGCUUAACCAAGGAAGUGCAUCCGAAACUGCAGUGCUUGAGUACUUAAGAGGAUCGCGGAAUUCCCGGUGUAGAGGUGAAAUUCGUAGAUAUCGGGAGGAACACCAGUGGCGAAGGCGGCGAUCUGGGAAGAUACUGACGCUGAGGUGCGAAAGCGUGGGGAGCAAACAGG
rnacentral:rRNA from 1 species